CCUUUUCGUAGGCCCAUCAGAGGGAUAUUUCGACAGGUGUUGCAUACUCUUCAUUUUUACUUUGUUUUUUAAAACUAGGUCAGAGGGUGGGUUUCACUUUCAAGACAUUGUUUAUUGUAAAAUGACUGUAAUACCGGCUGAACAAGUGUCCAAAGUGAAAGAACUCUGUCUGGAGAUCUGGGGUUUCAUACUCAUUGCCUUUCACUCCCUCUAAAGGAUUUGCCCGAGUUAGAAGAACCAAAGUGGAUUCUUCACUUCGAAGAUGCCAGACGUGUUAUGUUCAUUUAAAUUUUAGGAGUUAUUUAUUUUUUUGUAAUUUAUUUAUUUAUUUUUGACAUUUAUUUGUAACCUAUUCAUGUUUUGUGCAAAUAUGUCCCUGACACUCUUUUAGGUCGGCCGUUUUGCUGUUGUGGGAGGAGCAUCAGUUGAGGCACGUAGGAUGCUGUCUAACCAAUGAGCCGGCCUCUCAGAUGAAUUGGGCAGCAGGAGACUGAAAGAUGAGGUUGAACAAAAAAAAAAACCUCAAUUUAGAGGCACCAGGUGUGCAUGUUUGGCCUCAUCUGUGUCCGUUCAGAGAGUACUCAGAUCCCGGAUGGUUCACCAGGUCCUUUCCACCCCAAGGUGCAUUUGUGCUUCAGACCUCCUCCUCUAAGUCCCACUGCUCCUUCCUUCAGCUCACACUUAACUGCAGGGAUAGCAUGCAGGAGAACACCGAUAAUACGUGCAGGUCUCAAGUGCAGAAAGGCGACUCAAACUGAUUUAUUCAGUAUCAUCAGAAGAUCAGAAUCCUGGCCGAAAUCAAGGUCCAGACAGGCAAACACACCACACAAAGCAGCUUGCACAAACAGGAACAUACAGGUGUAGAAAUCCAGACUAAAAAUCGAUUCUCACAAAGGACAUUCCUCCAGAGCAGACACGAUAAAGUUUCAGGUCAACAGUCUCUCCACACAGAGCUGACUCACCUGGUAUGGAGUUUCUCACCUGGAGUUUACCAAAUGCCUCCAUGAACCACUUGUUGGAGAUCAAGCAAGGCAGUGGCUAAGACCAAGUACUGCUGCAUGUGAGAAGCCCUGAGACAUAAUCCUGGCUCCAAGACUGCUUAGGGACCUAGAAAAUCUAAGUGGCGACCACCAGACUUCCUCACUUGAGUCAUUCCACAGUCUGCUCAUUUGAUCACAACUGGCAGCUAUGCACUACAACGAAAACACUGCAAGAGAACAAGCUACAACUGCUACUGGACAGCUAAGAUGGCACAUGCAGUAUCCUCGUCACAAAAAGGGAGAAUGCACUGUGAGGCCACUAAAGACAAGGCCUACAUAUGGGUAUGUAGAUCAAUUACUGGAGCUUCUUUUUGACAGUGUGUUAGAGGAGCUGAAGCAGUUCCAGGAUGAGCUCAAGAAACUGCACAUUCCAGAACACUUGUGUACCCAGUUCACACGACCUGAAAAAUUUGAGACUGUAGCAAUGCACGCUUCAAAUCCUUGACAAUGGAGUAGAAGAGCCACUUAGCCUAUGCACUUAGCCUUUACGUAAACACAUAUUAUGUGAAAUAAUAAUAAAAAUUUUAAGAUUCUGCAAGAUGUAUGUAAACGUUUGAUCUCAACUGUAUAUUUAUAUCUGCAUAUAUCUUUUGUAAAUAAUACUUUUAAUAAACAUGUUUAAUGACAA